GCUAAUACAUGCUGAAAACCUCAACUUCGGAAGGGGUGUAUUUAUUAGAUAAAAAGCCAAUGCCCUUCGGGGCUUCCUGGUGAUUCAUAAUAACUUAACGAAUCGCAUGGCCUUGCGCCGGCGAUGGUUCAUUCAAAUUUCUGCCCUAUCAACUUUCGAUUGUUGGGUAGUGGCCAACAAUGGUGUUUACGGGUAACGGGGAAUUAGGGUUCUAUUCCGGAGAGGGAGCCUGAGAAACGGCUACCACAUCCAAGGAAGGCAGCAGGCGCGCAAAUUAUCCAAUUCCGACACGGAGAGAUAGUGACAAUAAAUACUGAUACAGGGCUCUUUUGGGUCUUGUAAUUGGAAUGAGUACAAUUUAAAUCCCUUAACGAGGAACAAUUGGAGGGCAAGUCUGGUGACGUUUCGGUCCAGGAGGGUUUCGACCCUCGCUGCUGACGCCAGAGAUAGUGGGGUUCCCUGGGAACUAUGCCCACUAGUCGAGCAUUCACGAUGUGAUGGGCGAAUGCCGGCGAGACAACCUGGAUCGGGGAAGGCUAAUGCUCGUAUGAGUGAUGCUGAUCCCGAGCGGAGUCCCCGGGGAGUGAUCCUCGGACGACCCGUGUAGAGCGCGCCAAGGUGUCGGCUGCUCUUGUCAUCGUCUCAUCGCUGAGAGACGUGGGAAGACAGCUUGAGGGACGUGCCAAUCCCAUCCGAAAGGAUGCGUUCACACCCGAGCACCCGUCAUGCAACGGUUAAACGGCUUAUUUCCUCUCCUGGGAAAUAGGUGG
rnacentral:rRNA from 1 species